CCUACGGGGGGCAGCAGUGAGGAAUAUUGGGCAAUGGAGGCAGCUCUGACCCAGCCAUCCCGCGUGCAGGAUGACGGCCCUAUGGGUUGUAAACUGCUUUUCUACGCCAAGAAACCUACUUACGUGUAAGUAGCUGACGGUAGCGUAGGAAUAAGCACCGGCUAACUCCGUGCCAGCAGCCGCGGUAAUACGGAGGGUGCAAGCGUUAUCCGGAUUUAUUGGGUUUAAAGGGUGCGCAGGCGGAAAAAUAAGUCAGUGGUGAAAUACUGCCGCUCAACGGUAGGGCUGCCAUUGAUACUGUUUUUCUUGAGUAUGGUUGAGGUAAGCGGAAUGUGCGGUGUAGCGGUGAAAUGCAUAGAUAUCGCACAGAACGCCGAUUGCGAAGGCAGCUUACUAAGCCAUUACUGACGCUGAGGCACGAAAGCGUGGGUAGCGAACAGGAUUAGAUACCCUGGUAGUCCACGCCGUAAACGAUGUUCACUCGCUGUUUGCGAUACACAGCAAGCGGCUGAGCGAAAGCAUUAAGUGAACCACCUGGGGAGUACGACCGCAAGGUUGAAACUCAAAGGAAUUGACGGGGGCCCGCACAAGCGGUGGAACAUGUGGUUUAAUUCGAUGAUACGCGAGGAACCUUACCUGGGCUUAAAUGCAGGUUGCAUUUGCGCGAAAGCGUGAUUCCCUUCGGGGCUACUUGCAAGGUGCUGCAUGGUUGUCGUCAGCUCGUGCCGUGAGGUGUCGGGUUAAGUCCCAUAACGAGCGCAACCCUUACCGUUAGUUGCCAUCGGGUCAAGCCGGGGACUCUAGCGGGACUGCCACCGUAAGGUGAGAGGAAGGUGGGGAUGACGUCAAAUCAGCACGGCCCUUAUGCCCAGGGCUACACACGUGUUACAAUGGCCGGUACAAAGGGCAGCUACUGCGUAAGCAGGUGCGAAUCCUUAAGCCGGUCCCAGUUCGGAUCGGAGUCUGCAACCCGACUCCGUGAAGUUGGAAUCGCUAGUAAUCGGAUAUCAGCAACGAUCCGGUGAAUACGUUCCCGGGCCUUGUACACACCGCCCGUC
rnacentral:rRNA from 1 species